GUGUCAGCAGCCGCGGUAAUACAGAGGGGGCAAGCGUUAUUCGGAAUUAUUGGGCGUAAAGGGCGCGUAGGCGGCGAUUCAAGUGACGGGUGAAAUCCCUCGGCUUAACCGAGGAACUGCCUGUCAGACUGGAUUGCUUGAGUCCGGGAGAGGCGAGUGGAAUUCCCAGUGUAGCGGUGAAAUGCGUAGAUAUUGGGAGGAACACCAGUGGCGAAGGCGGCUCGCUGGACCGGAACUGACGCUGAGGCGCGAAAGCGUGGGGAGCAAACAGGAUUAGAUACCCCCGUAGUCC
rnacentral:rRNA from 1 species